GAACGCUGGCGGCACGCUUAACACAUGCAAGUCGAACGGAGUUAUUGGAGCUUGCUUGAAUAACUUAGUGGCGGACGGGUGAGUAACACGUGAGCAACCUGCCUUUGAGAGCGGAAUAGCUUCUGGAAACGGAUGGUAAUACCGCAUAACAUUACCGGACCGCAUGAUCUGGUAAUCAAAGAUUUAUCGCUCAAAGAUGGGCUCGCGUCUGAUUAGAUAGUUGGUGGGGUAACGGCCUACCAAGUCGACGAUCAGUAGCCGGACUGAGAGGUUGGACGGCCACAUUGGGACUGAGACACGGCCCAGACUCCUACGGGAGGCAGCAGUGGGGAAUAUUGCACAAUGGGCGGAAGCCUGAUGCAAGCGAUGCCGCGUGGAGGAAGAAGGUUUUCGGAUUGUAAACUCCUGAUCUGAGGGACGAUAAUGACGGUACCUCAGGAGAAAGCUCCGGCUAACUACGUGCCAGCAGCUGC
rnacentral:rRNA from 1 species